rnacentral:rRNA from 1 species
UACGUAGGGGGCGAGCGUUGUCCGGAUUUAUUGGGCGUAAAGAGCGUGUAGGCGGUUCGGUAAGUCUGUCGUGAAAUCCUGAGGCUCAACCUCGGGCGUGCGAUGGAUACUGCCGGGCUAGAGGAUGGUAGAGGCGAGUGGAAUUCCCGGUGUAGCGGUGAAAUGCGCAGAUAUCAGGAAGAACACCCGUGGCGAAAGCGGCUCUCUGGAACGGUACUGACGCUGAGACGCGAAAGCGUGGGGAGCGAACAGG